UGAACAGGAAAGUGAGAACAAAGGCGUUGUUGUAGCCAUUUUGGCCAUGCUACAACGAUGCAGACAGCUCUCUUUGUCACUCCUACAACGUGCUUGUUCAAACAACACAUUUUCUUUCAGGUUUUGUGCUUUAGGCAGAGUGACAUGAUGCAGGAUGGAGUUGCGAAGAGUUCCAGGACAUGGUCAAAGAUGGCUGGAACAGUCGGAUGGAUUUGCAAUCAUGCAAUAAAGGCCCACAUGAGACGCCAUGGUCAAAUGGUUGGAGAUCGUUGAGAGUUUGCAGCUAUUGAUGAAAGUUGUUGUAAUAAUAGCAAGUAUCACCACAGAAGGGCCGGUGCAACAUGGCGACGGAAAAAGUGGGUAUUAAGAAUAUUAGGAGUAGGUGACCGCCAGAAACAUCCUGUCUUGUGGCUGGUGUGGUUAAACAAGUGCGUCCGGGAACCACCGUCAUCAGUGACCAAUGGGGCACUUACAGGAGUGCAUUGACUGCGACAGGCUACAGGCACUUCACAGUGAACCACUGUCAGUAGUUUGCGGAUCCAAACACCUUGCGCGCCUCCCAGUAUGUCAACCCCAGCUUUCUCUGUGGA